GGCUCACUCUGGCAGCACUAUACUAAAAUUGGAACAAUACAGAGAAGAUUACCAUGGCCCUGCUCAAAAAACAAAAAAAGCUGUAUCUUUUA
rnacentral:snRNA from 1 species